rnacentral:rRNA from 1 species
UACAGAGGGUGCUAGCGUUGUUCGGAAUCAUUGGGCGUAAAGAGCUCGUAGGCGGCUCAGUAAGUCGGGUGUGAAAACUCCAGGCUCAACCUGGAGACGCCACCUGAUACUGCUGUGGCUAGAGUCCGGUAGGGGAGCAUGGAAUUCCUGGUGUAGCGGUGAAAUGCGCAGAUAUCAGGAGGAACACCAGUGGCGAAGGCGGUGCUCUGGGCCGGAACUGACGCUGAGGAGCGAAAGCGUGGGGAGCAAACAGG